ACGCUUUUGGUCCAAACAGAUGAUGAUUGGUGCGUUCAUGGACAAUCUGUGAAAAGUGCUGCCUUAACCUUGUCAUGCUCUGUGCCUCAGCCUGUCUGAAC